UGCUGAGCAGGCCCGGCCUUGCUUCUGAGAUCUGACAAGAUCAGGCUACAAGAAAACAAAUGCACUGCAACAGCUGUUAUCAAGCCAACUUAAAAUAAGUCUAAAUGUGAAUAGUUUUAAACUUAAGUGAAAAAAUCUGAGGGCUCAAAACAGGCACUUGUGAUAGUGGAUAAUCUCGGGUUGAUCGCACGCCCUCCAUGACAGUGACAACUCAUUCGAAUGUCUGCCCUAUCAACUUUCGAUGGUACCAUCUGUGCCUACCACUGUGACCACAGGUAACGGGGAAUCAGGGUUCGAAUCCAGAGAGAGAGCCCAAGAAACGGGGACCACAUCCAAGGAAG
rnacentral:ncRNA from 1 species